rnacentral:rRNA from 1 species
AUACAGGGGGUGCGAGCGUUAAUCGGAAUUACUGGGCGUAAAGAGUACGUAGGCGGUUGCUUAAGUCAGAUGUGAAAGCCCCGGGCUCAACCUGGGAACUGCAUUUGAAACUGAGUGACUAGAGUUUAAGAGAGGGGAGUAGAAUUCCGGGUGUAGCGGUGAAAUGCGUAGAGCUCCGGAGGAAUACCAGUGGCGAAGGCGGCUCCCUGGCUUAAAACUGACGCUGAGGUACGAAAGCGUGGGUAGCAAACAGGAUUAGAAACCCCAGUAGUCC